UACGUAGGGUGCAAGCGUUGUCCGGAAUUAUUGGGCGUAAAGAGCUCGUAGGCGGUCUGUCGCGUCUGCUGUGAAAACUCAGGGCUUAACCCUGAGCUUGCAGUGGGUACGGGCAGACUAGAGUGCGGUAGGGGAGACUGGAAUUCCUGGUGUAGCGGUGAAAUGCGCAGAUAUCAGGAGGAACACCGGUGGCGAAGGCGGAUCUCUGGGCCGAUACUGACGCUGAGGAGCGAAAGCGUGGGGAGCGAACAGG
rnacentral:rRNA from 1 species